CUUGCCUCACCUUUAUUCUUCCUUUCCUUCAUUCACUCCAGCUUCAAGAGCCUCUAAUUAGCUGUGUGCCUUAAUUACUCCAGCUCAAUCUUCUUCUGCUUGCUGGUUCUCCCACUGCUUAGGACUCAACAGUGGCUGCACCUUCUCAAGAGGAUAUCCACAGAAACAAAACUCACUAUCUUACAGAGAUAUUUUUGAUGAUUAGUGAAUCAGAUCUCUCAGCACUUUGAAGACUAGGGCUAUGCUGGAUCUGUGAGACAGAAGGAGCACUGACCCCUCAGGCAUCAUGUGGAGGAGCUGACUGGUUAUGAACUUUCACUAUGGACUAUAUAGGGCGUCUGAGAAGCAGAACGAUGCCGUCAACCCAGAAUCCAAACAACUUGGAAGUAUUGAGUGAAGGCAGAGACCCCGAAGCCACACAUAGAAUGCUUUACAAUCCUGUAAUUGUCCUCAAGGACAACAUGAGCAGAAAGGAGAUAGAACUUCACUUAAGCUGAAUGAAAUUCCAUUGGUACAAGCUUCACAUUUCAUCAUCUAAUCCCCUGUUAACACCACCUGGGAUGCUUCCAUUUCCUCACCAUUGGAAAAGAAUGGCAACAAACAUGGAG
rnacentral:lncRNA from 1 species